GAUAAUGAUGUCAUUAAAAUUUGGACUUGUGAUACUCGAAUACCAAAGGAAUUUACGCAUCUGCCUAAGACAACCAAUCUCCAUUUGGGGUUCAGGAGUCAAACGUUUUAUUCUUGGUUUAGCAUCAUUAUUUAAUCCGUUGUGGUGAGAGGUUGCGAUGAUAAAAUAUGGCAGCAAUUUGUGUGAUAUAUUAACUAUGCAAGACACUGUUUUAUGGCGGUUUGAGGAAUACUGUUGAAUAUAUCGCGUGCGUCUACGGUGACUGGGCCCGUCGUUUUGCUCUGGUGCUUUUAUGCAUGCGCAGUCAAGCGAGGAUCCACGCACUGAUGUACAUCGUGUGUCGUUUCGUCAUGAUACGGUGCGCCUGCUACCGCUGACGAAUGGGCUUUGGCACCAUGCCGUGCUGCAACAACCUUGGCGGUUAGAGCUAGGAUAUUGAAAUGGAGAGUGGAAACCACGCCCAUUUUGUAGGUGACUGCGGUGCCGGGAGGAGACUGAGAGAAACGUGGAGGGGAUAGGAAACAGGGGAAACUGGUGGGUUGUUAGCUUGGUGAGCUCACUGCGACCAGUCGCUGCUGCCUGCCUGAUGUGAUCAACAAGCUGCUGAUGCCUGGACUCUCGAACUGCCAUCUGCGAGGCUAGGUUGCCCUCGCCGUCUGAUGACGACGAUGAUGAGGAGGCUUCUCGCUCCGUCAUCGAUCUGUCUCUCUGUGGAUGUCGUUAUGUGGACCUACAUCCCCUCCAUAUACCCGCAUCAUUAAGGCACCGCGUACGUCGUUGCAUCACUGUACGAUCCGCUAGCUAUGAUUCAUUCGCCACACGUCAACUAUUCCGUAGGUUCGUCAUCCCAUUAUAACCCGGUCUACCUGCAUCAUGCGUAGCUAGCUCUGUGCGUGUCCUCAUUGGCGCAGUGGAGACGACGAUUCGAUCGCUACCUCAGUCCGGGAGGACAACUCGCCUUCGCUCCGGUGAUAAGUACUGGAUGCUUGACCAACACAUCUCCCUCCCGGCGGUCAUUCAUUUCCUUUCCAUCUUCCUGCGUCCAACACAAUAACCGUGACUGCAUCCGCAUCUCACUGUCAGAGCAGGUCUAGCAUCUUGAAGAUGCACUAUCGUCAUGUGGAUGUAUCCAUCCUGAUUACAAAGAUCUUGACAGGUGAGUCGUCGACGUAUACGGUCCACGGAGGGUCAAGUCAUGAAUACAUGCAUCAGCGGAUGCUCCUUCGUCCCUCGGGCCUAGCGGCCAUAUUGUUUCCUUUACUCCUUAUCGUUCCCGCGCCCAGCUGCCAUGUUUGAAUAAUGCUGGACGGAGAACUGAUAAGGGCUUAUGGGAACACCUUGCACUCGUUGGAUUCUAGCGGAGAACAUCUCAGUGCGGCGUGACCCAGCAUACUCAAGCUCAAACCAAAAUACGCCCAGGGGUACGGGAUAGUGUCCUCAGCGGUUACUUCAUAUCAAAUAUGCAACCUCGGGUUCAACUGGUGAUGUGCAGAUUUUUGUGCUUUGAAAAGAUUGCUUUGAAAAGAUUGACAUGAUGUAUUUGUCAAAAUCGUUUUGCACUGUCACAUUUUUAUAGUAUAAGACUUUUCCCAUUGUCUUGUAUCUGUGUUGAUGUUAUCAUCUAGAUAUUGUUUAAAUUUUUCUUCAAUUAUUUAAUCUUUCUAAAGCAGUCAGUCAAGUAACUUUUUUGUUAAUGAAAACUCAACACACAUGUAUGAGAGCACUAUUAUUGAAAUUUAAAUCGCACAAAAGAAAGUAGUUUAACUAACCUUUUCUCCGUGGUGACCGGUGACACGAUACUAGAUAGUUUGAAGAUCCUGAAUGACACACGUGGACGCUGGACAAACAUGGGG
rnacentral:lncRNA from 1 species